ensembl:lncRNA
CUCGAGGAAGGGGAGGGGAGGCUCCCCUUCCUGCUUUGCAUCUCUCAGACCUUUAUGUCCAAGAUCUACACUGCCUAUGUGUGGACUAUGUUGAGGACAAGAUUGAACCGAAUGGAGAGUAUAUCCUAUUCCAAAGUCCCUGGCCAUUCUCAUAUAGAUCACCUACUCUGGUCCCUGAUAUAUAAUGACUGCUUCUGGCUAUCUCAUAGCGGACAAUCAAAACAAGUAAAGCAUAUGAUAUUAGAAAACUCAUAUAUAACCUGUUUUGCUUCUUGAAUAAACAUGACAAUCUGUAUAAAACUGAACAAUGUGUAUUUUCUAAACUGCAAAGGGCAUAUGCUAAGUAUUUAUUGUGCAGGCUGUGCAGAAUGCUGGAUAAUGAAAAUGUGCCUUACUGUGUGAACUGUUUACAGUAAAACCGUAGUUUGCUAUUAAUGACAUUCAA